ACUCAUCGCGAAGGUUUGCAGCUUCACUCCUGAAGCCAGGGAGACCACGAACUCACCAGAAGAAAUAAACUCCGGACACAUUUGAGCAUCUGAAGGAACAAACUCCGAACACACCAUCUUUUAAGAACUGUAACACUCACUGCGAGGGUCCAAGGGUCUGCAGCUUCAUUUUUGAAGUCACCAAGACCAAGAACCACAAAUUCUGGACACAACAUCAUUUCCUGUGGGAUCAUAUUCUGGAAUCACAGAGAUGACCACCAUUUCAAAUGCCUUCACGGUGCAUGUUUUACAGCACAGCUGAAAGUUAUAAGACCAUGAUGAUCAUCCUUCUUGGAUGACUGACCUAUCAAUCAUUUUGGGAAAUGCAUCUUAGAAAAAUUUGGUUAUGAGACUGUCAGGUAGAUAUAAAGGGCCCAUAAGAAGAAUACUGGACAAAGAGGUGAAAGAGAGAGAGAGAGAAGCCUAGUCCAACUCCACUUCUUCCAGCAAUUCCAGCUGAGCAAGGAUAAUAUAAAUCUGAUAAUAUAACUGUAGGCAUCUUGGAUACUUCAACCUCACUUAAGCUGCUAGCUGAUUGCAGAUACCGGAGUGAGUGAGUGAGCCCAGCAGACAUUCCUUGGAGCAGAAAGGAGCUGCCAACUGAAUACAGUCCAAGUUACAAAAACAGUCAACUCUUUUAGAGCAAGGACUCAGUCAUCAUCAUCACUGCAUCCCAUAGGCCUAAAGCACUUAGUAAUACUGUUGAAAAAAAGUGAAUUGAGAAUAACCUGACAUGAAGAGAUGGAUUGAGGCUUCAUGAAAUCAUAGGAUAGAAUCAAGUAAAGAAAGCCACUGAGAAAUGGAGUCAUCUUAUAUGAAACAUAUUUGGGGAGGGAAGCAGCAGGGAGACAGUGAUGAGCCUAAGAGAAAGGAUGUAACCAUCUUCUUAGGGCACUUUAUAGAAACAUUGAUGUCUCAUAAUGUAAUGAAUAAGUACUUUCUUAAAAAUC
rnacentral:lncRNA from 10 species